rnacentral:rRNA from 1 species
GAUGAACGCUGGCGGCGUGCCUAAUACAUGCAAGUCGAACGCAUAGCGAAAGGUGCUUGCACCUUUCAAGUGAGUGGCGAACGGGUGAGUAACACGUGGACAACCUGCCUCAAGGCUGGGGAUAACAUUUGGAAACAGAUGCUAAUACCGAAUAAAACUUAGUGUCGCAUGACACAAAGUUAAAAGGCGCUUCGGCGUCACCUAGAGAUGGAUCCGCGGUGCAUUAGUUAGUUGGUGGGGUAAAGGCCUACCAAGACAAUGAUGCAUAGCCGAGUUGAGAGACGGAUCGGCCACAUUGGGACUGAGACACGGCCCAAACUACUGCGGGAGGCUGCAGUAGGGAAUCUUCCACAAUGGGCGAAAGCCUGAUGGAGCAACGCCGCGUGUGUGAUGAAGGCGUUCGGGUCGUAAAGCACUGUUGUAUGGGAAGAACAGCUAGAAUAGGAAAUGAUUUUAGUUUGACGGUACCAUACCAGAAAGGGACGGCUAAAUACGUG